rnacentral:tRNA from 1 species
GCGGAAGUAGCUCAGUGGUAGAGCACGUCCUUGCCAAGGACGGGGUCGCGAGUUCGAGCCUCGUCUUCCGCUCCA